GUUGGCAGGGGGGAGGUGAGGGUGUCUUUUUCUGGAGAUCUCUCCUUAUUGGUGGUCUUUCAAAGGAUAAGAGAACUGGAGAAGGCUGACUGAGCCAAGAAGCGUGGAAAUCUCCACGCUAGUGAGCAACAUGUGCUUGAAUCAAGCAUGGUCUCCCAGGGAGCAGAGAAGACACAUAGCUGUGCCAUUAUUGCUGCAGCACUGGGGGCCAAACCCUCAUCCCGCUCACAGCUGAGCCAAGCAAACCCAGGUUUACACAGCCUCUCAACUUCUCGUGUAUAUUUAGUCCAAAGAAAAACACCAUUAAAAUGCCGAGGAGGCUUUCAAGACAAUUGUUUUAUUAUAUUAAACCAACUUCAACUCUAAACUCUGCUUCUGUGGAAUUACUCACUGGAUGGGACACUUCAAACCUAAAUGACUAACCAAGUGCAGCUGUCACUGAGGGAAAAGAUUGCUGCUUUCACAGGUCAGCCAGAGCAGGAAAGAAUUUUAACAAGAGGAUGCCUGACCUCAGGGAUCUGCACCCAGCCCCUCCUGCAUCUGGUGCUAUCCCAAAGACAGCGGUCCUUCACUGCAGAAGAUGCUCCAGAGGAGAAUCUGAGCACCACAGCUCGCGUGUCACCCGGUGCAACCCAAGAGCCACGUCCAUUUUUAGCACAUGGCUGCUCGCCUGAAGAUAUGUUGCGUUAUCUGACCAACACAUCUUAUCUGAGAAUUUCGAGGAAAACGCAGGCUCAUGUACCCAUGUGCAUAUUAUAGCUUCCUACAGCAUGUCUGUGUAUUUUGGGAAAUGCUCCCUCAGACUGAGCAGGAGUUGGGGUUCUGUUUGCCUGACACUCAGGUGCCAGCUGUGCCCUGGAGGGCUGCCCUGUGCUCCUGCAGCCAUCCCACAGCCACCUCUGGCACACUGUGCACGUCCGGGGCUGAGCUCAGCUCCAUUUCACAUUCAGGACAUCUCAGAGCUGGUUGGAACGAGGGCUCACUAAAGCUCCCAUCAGAUGCUGACGGGCCUUUUUGUGCCAGGAAAACGGAUGUGUGCGACAACAGCAAAAGUGCCUGGAAGCAUCCCAAAGCCUGAGUGAAACGAGGGAAUUUUGAGUGGCACCAAACAAAGGGAGCAGUGAUUUAAUCUCCACAGAUGGGGAGGGGGGAGCAGCGUCAGGAAAAGCAGGAGGCUGAGAUUAGCGAGGCAAUAAAAUGAAAAUGGGCAAGAGGUGGAGCAAACUGUGCCGAGAUAAGAGGAGGUGGAUUGUAGCUGUGGCAGAUGGAGGGGGAGCUGGCAGCCAAAGAGGGAACAAAAGAGAACCCAACAGGUAAUAAAUUGGUAAAAAUCUCCAUCCGCAACCUGAAAUACUGUUUCCAGACUAUUUUCUCCAGGGAGCUGUGAUUACAGCAGGUGGAUGUGCAGUGCUGUGCACUCCCCUUGGGAGCACUGAGGACUUCCAGGCAGCUGGGCAGGGCCUAGGAUCCUGCAGGCAGCACAGUCCUGGCUUGUGCAUAGAGCAGUCCCUGAAUGCCAGAAGGUGAAAGAAACUGCUGCUUCUUUGGCUGGCCAUUGGACUCAGCCUGAGUCAGCAGCACGAAAGCAACGUGCUGUUUCUAAAUGCAGUGUUUCCUUGAGCCCUGCUGCAGCACGCUGCACUGGGUAUCUCAGUUCCGGGUGAUAAGGCAGCUGUUAGCGAGAAACUCAUUAAUGAGUAAAACUGGCAAUAGGUGAUUGAUAAUAAACAGGCAUCUG